AAACUCAAAGGAAUUGACGGGGAGCACCACAACAGGUGGAGCCUGCGGUUUAAUCGGACUCAACGCCGGAAAUCUCACCGGAUAAGACAGCUGAAUGAUAGUCGGGCUGAAGACUCUACUUGACUAGCUGAGAGGAGGUGCAUGGCCGUCGUCAGUUCGUACUGUGAAGCAUCCUGUUAAGUCAGGCAACGAGCGAGACCCACGCCAACAGUUGCCAGCUCGUCCUCCGGGAUGGUGGGGACACUGUUGGGACCGCCUCUGCUAAAGCGGAGGAAGGAAUGGGCAACGGUAGGUCAGUAUGCCCCGAAUAUCCCGGGCUACACGCGAGCUACAAUGGUUGGUACAAUGGGUAUCUACCCCGAAAGGGGACGGGAAUCUCCUAAAACCAAUCUUAGUUCGGAUUGAGGGCUGCAACUCGCCCUCAUGAAGCUGGAAUCCGUAGUAAUCGCGUUUCAACAGAACGCGGUGAAUACGUCCCUGCUCCUU
rnacentral:rRNA from 1 species